AUUCUAUAAAUCUAUUUCUUAAAAAUAAGACUUGCAUUGCUCAUUCGACAUCCUAGAAGAUAUAAUUUACCUAUGAGGAUAGAGUCUUUAUGAUGAUUUUUUUAAAUCAUAGCAUUAAAAAAAUAGAUAUUUUCAAUAGAAAAGGUUGUCAGAAUUGGUAGGUGAAGAAAGGUAUUCAUAAUUGAUAUGUUACAAUGAUAAAACUGAUUUAGAAAAACGAAAAAAUUUAUGUUAUCAAUUCUGCCUUGAAAUACUCAAGUGACCAAAAUAUUUUAUAUAUUUUAUUUUUACUUUAAAGUGACCCUAAUUUAUUAAUUCAUUCAUUUUUUUCUUAGGUUGCAAUAGAAUAUAAAAUAAUUCUAAUUUCACUUAGUUCAUUAAUUUAUUAAAAAUUAAGAAUAUGCAUGCCAGGUGCAGUGGCUCAUGCCUGUAAUCCCAGCACUUUGAGAGGCCGAAGUGGGUGGAUUACCUGAAGUCAUGAGUUCUAGACCAGCCUGGCCAACAUGGUGAAGACCUAUCUCUACUAAAAAUAUA
rnacentral:lncRNA from 1 species